GACGAACGCUGGCGGCGUGCUUAACACAUGCGAGUCGAACGGAAAGGCCCUGCUUUUGUGGGGUGCUCGAGUGGCGAACGGGUGAGUAACACGUGAGUAACCUGCCCUUGACUUUGGGAUAACUUCAGGAAACUGGGGCUACUACCGGAUAGGAGCUCCUGCUGCAUGGUGGGGGUUGGAAAGUUUCGGCGGUUGGGGAUGGACUCGCGGCUUAUCAGCUUGUUGGUGGGGUAGUGGCUUACCACGGCUUUGACGGGUAGCCGGCCUGUGAGGGUGACCGGCCACAUUGGGACUGAGAGACGGCCCAGACUCCUACGGGGGGCAGCAGUGGGGAAUAUUGCACAGUGGGCGGAAGCCUGAUGCAGCAACGCCGCGUGCGGGAUGACGGCCUUCGGGUUGUAAACCGCUUUCGCCUGUGACGAAGCGUGAGUGACGGUAAUGGGUAAAGAAGCACCGGCUAACUACGUG
rnacentral:rRNA from 1 species